UUAAGAUCUUUCUAGUAUAUAACUGAUAUGGGACUAAACACAUAUUUAUAUGGAUCAUCACAAAAUCCGGGCAUCCCAAUCAAACUAAAAGUUCGAAUUCAAAGAAAUCGAAACACAAAUACAAUGGCCUGCCGAUGGAUCUAAACAAGCUUAUGUUGCCAUGGUUCGGGCCAUAUAUUAUUUGAUUUCUUCAUCCAGUAUAAGUACCA
rnacentral:lncRNA from 1 species